CGGCCGCAGUACUCUGACUGUGCAAAGGUAGCAUAAUCAAUUGACUUUUAAUUGGAGUCUAGUAUGAAUGGAUUUACGUAAAAGUUCUGUCUCAAUUAAAAUUUUCUAAAAUUUUUUAGAAGGUGAAAAAACUUUCAGUAUUUAAAAGACGAGAAGACCCUAAGAAUUUUAAAAAAAUUAGUCUAUCUUUUUUGCUGGGGCGGCAGUGGAUCAAGGAACAUCCAUAUUAUCGAGUUUUCGUGUUUUAAAUUACCUUAGGGAUAACAGCACAAUUGUGACCUCGAUGUUGGACUACGAA
rnacentral:rRNA from 1 species